rnacentral:rRNA from 1 species
GAAAUUCGCCUUCAUGAAGCUGGAAUUGCUAGUAAUGGCAGGUCAGCAUACUGCCGUGAAUACGUUCCCGGGCCUUGUACACACCGCCCGUCACACCAUGAGAGUUGGAAAUACCCGAAGCCUGUGAGCUAACUUAAAGAGGCAGCAGUCGAAGGUAGAGCCAAUGAUUGGGGUGAAGUCGUAACAAGGUAUC